rnacentral:rRNA from 1 species
ACGCUCGACACCUACGGAGGCAGCAGUAGGGAAUCUUCCACAAUGGACGGCAAGUCUGAUGGAGCAACGCCGCGUGAGUGAAGAAGGUCUUCGGAUCGUAAAACUCUGUUGUUAGAGAAGAACACGAGUGAGAGUAACUGUUCAUUCGAUGACGGUAUCUAACCAGCAAGUCACGGCUAACUACGUGUCAGCAGCCGCGGUAAUCUGAGCGGGCUGGCAAGGC